rnacentral:rRNA from 1 species
CGGUGUUCAACUGGCGUGCCCGCGGGACGUCCUGCCGGUGAGCUCAGCCCGCGAGGGCGGCUCAACUUGAAAUCCCAUCGCGGUGCUCUUCAUUGAGUGUCGAGGUGGGCCGGCACGAUUACUUUUGAACAAAUUAGAGUGCUUAAAGCAGGCUAAAAUUUUGCCUGAAUACUGUGUAUAUGGAAUAAUGGAAUAGGACCUCGGUUCUAUUUUGUUGGUUUUCGGAACCCCGAGGUAAUGAUUAAUAGGAACGGAUGGGGGCAUUCGUAUUGCGACGUUAGAGGUGAAAUUCUUGGAUCGUCGCAAGACGGACUAAAGCGAAAGCAUUUGCCAAAAACGCUUUCAUUGAUCAAGAACGAAAGUUAGAGGUUCGAAGGCGAUCAGAUACCGCCCUAGUUCUAACCAUAAACUAUGCCAGCUAGCGAUCCGCCGACGUCCCUCUGAUGACUCGGCGGGGCAGCUUCCGGGAAACCAAAGCUUUUGGGUUCCGGGGGAAGUAUGGUUGCAAAGCUGAAACUUAAAGGAAUUGACGGAAGGGCACCACCAGGAGUGGAGCCUGCGGCUUAAUUUGACUCAACACGGGAAACCUCACCAGGCCCAGACACUGGAAGGAUUGACAGAUUGAGAGCUCUUUCUUGAUUCGGUGGGUGGUGGUGCAUGGCCGUUCUUAGUCGGUGGAGCGAUUUGUCAGGUUAAUUCCGAUAACGGACGAGACUCUGACCUGAUAACUAGACGCACUUGCGGCAUCUCAAAGGUCCGCCGGCGGCUGGCUUUGCGCCCGUCGUCGCGCGCGAUUUUUACUGCCGGCGUACAAUAAAUUCUUCUAGAGGGACAAGUGG